rnacentral:lncRNA from 1 species
AUACAGAAUUUGAUGAGCUCCUUAAUCUACCAAUUUAAAAUCAAAAAUUUUGCUCCAUAUCUUCUUGUACAACAAUUACAUAUCUACAUGAUCAGUAUUAAAUAUAAAAAUCAUAUAUAGAGAAAUUAUGGAUAAAUGAUCCUAAUCACAUUAAUCCAGGACCUCUCCUAGGAUUAACCAAAAUUGAGAUUUGUCUAAGUAUUUGGACCCUUCACUG